AACCCGGGGAAACCCGGGCUAAUACCGCAUACGUCCUACGGGAGAAAGAGGGCCUCUGCUUGCACGCUCUCACUCCAGGAUGAGCCCACGUCCGAUUAGCUAGUUGGUAGGGUAAAGGCCUACCAAGGCCACGAUCGGUAGCUGGUCUGAGAGGAUGAUCAGCCACACUGGGACUGAGACACGGCCCAGACUCCUACGGGAGGCAGCAGUGGGGAAUAUUGGACAAUGGGCGCAAGCCUGAUCCAGCAAUGCCGCGUGUGUGAAGAAGGCCUGCGGGUUGUAAAGCACUUUCAGUGGGGAAGAACAGAUUCGGGUCAAUACCCCGGAGCCCUGACGUUACCCACAGAAGAAGCACCGGCUAACUCCGUG
rnacentral:rRNA from 1 species